UACGAAGGGGGCUAGCGUUGUUCGGAUUUACUGGGCGUAAAGCGCACGUAGGCGGAUCGUUAAGUCGGGGGUGAAAUCCUGGAGCUCAACUCCAGAACUGCCUUCGAUACUGGCGAUCUUGAGUCCGGAAGAGGUGAGUGGAACUCCUAGUGUAGAGGUGGAAUUCGUAGAUAUUAGGAAGAACACCAGUGGCGAAGGCGGCUCACUGGUCCGGUACUGACGCUGAGGUGCGAAAGCGUGGGGAGCGAACCGG
rnacentral:rRNA from 1 species